UAACAGGACCUCAUUCCUCACACAGGGAUGAC
rnacentral:piRNA from 1 species